rnacentral:rRNA from 1 species
AGAGUUUGAUCAUGGCUCAGAUUGAACGCUGGCGGCAUGCUUUACACAUGCAAGUCGAACGGCAGCACGGGGGCAACCCUGGUGGCGAGUGGCGAACGGGUGAGUAAUAUAUCGGAACAUAUCCGGAAGUGGGGGAUAGCUCGGCGAAAGCCGGAUUAAUACCGCAUAUGCCCUGAGGGGGAAAGGAGGGGAUUCGCAAGAACCUUUCGCUUUCGGAGUGGCCGAUAUCGGAUUAGCUAGUUGGUGAGGUAAAGGCUUACCAAGGCGACGAUCCGUAGCUGGUCUGAGAGGACGACCAGCCACACUGGAACUGAGACACGGUCCAGACUCCUACGGGAGGCAGCAGUGGGGAAUUUUGGACAAUGGGGGAAACCCUGAUCCAGCCAUGCCGCGUGAGUGAAGAAGGCCUUCGGGUUGUAAAGCUCUUUCAGACGGAAAGAAACGGUCACGGAUAAUACCCGUGACUAAUGACGGUACCGUCAGAAGAAGCACCGGCUAACUACGUGCCAGCAGCCGCGGUAAUACGUAGGGUGCGAGCGUUAAUCGGAAUUACUGGGCGUAAAGCGUGCGCAGGCGGUUUUGUAAGACAGAUGUGAAAUCCCCGGGCUUAACCUGGGAACUGCAUUUGUGACUGCAAGGCUAGAGUACGGCAGAGGGGGGUAGAAUUCCACGUGUAGCAGUGAAAUGCGUAGAUAUGUGGAGGAAUACCGAUGGCGAAGGCAGCCCCCUGGGUCGAUACUGACGCUCAUGCACGAAAGCGUGGGGAGCAAACAGGAUUAGAUACCCUAGUAGUCC